rnacentral:tRNA from 3 species
GGUCCCAUCGUCCAGGGGCCUAGGACACAGCCCUUUCAAGGCUGCGACGCGGGUUCGAAUCCCGCUGGGACCGCCA